AUACGGAGGAUGCGAGCGUUAUCCGGAUUUAUUGGGUUUAAAGGGUGCGUAGGCCGGCCGAUAAGUCAGCGGUGAAAUACCAUGGCCCAACCAUGGAACUGCCGUUGAUACUGUCGGUCUUGAAUAUGGUCAAGGUAGGCGGAAUGUGUAAUGUAGCGGUGAAAUGCUUAGAUAUUACACAGAACACCGAUUGCGAAGGCAGCUUACUGGUCCAUUAUUGACGCUGAGGCACGAAAGCGUGGGGAUC
rnacentral:rRNA from 1 species